rnacentral:rRNA from 1 species
AACGAACGCUGGCGGCAUGCCUAACACAUGCAAGUCGAACGAGACCUUCGGGUCUAGUUGCGCACGGGUGCGUAACGCGUGGGAACCUGCCCUUAGGUUCGGAAUAACUCCCCGAAAGGGGUGCUAAUACCGGAUAAUGUCUUCGGACCAAAGAUUUAUCGCCUUUGGAUGGGCCCGCGUUGGAUUAGCUAGUUGGUAGGGUAAAAGCCUACCAAGGCGACGAUCCAUAGCUGGUCUGAGAGGAUGAUCAGCCACACUGGGACUGAGACACGGCCCAGACUCCUACGGGAGGCAGCAGUGGGGAAUAUUGGACGAUGGGCGAAAGCCUGAUACAGCAAUGCCGCGUGAGUGAUGAAGGCCUUAGGGUUGUAAAGCUCUCUUACCCGGGAUGAUAAUGACAGUACCGGGAGAAUAAGCUCCGGCUAACUCCGUG